UGGGGAAUUUUGGACAAUGGGGGCAACCCUGAUCCGGCCAUGCCGCGUGAGUGAAGAAGGCCUUCGGGUUGUAAAGCUCUUUCGGCGGGGACGAAACGGUCCGUGACAACACCACGGACUAAUGACAGUACUCGCAGAAGAAGCACCGGCUAACUACGUGCCAGCAGCCGCGGUAAUACGUAGGGUGCAGGCGUUAAUCGGAAUUACUGGGCGUAAAGCGUGCGCAGGCGGCUCCUUAAGUCAGAUGUGAAAUCCCCGGGCUUAACCUGGGAACUGCGUUUGAAACUGAGGGGCUAGAGUGUGGAAGAGGGGGGUGGAAUUCCAGGUGUAGCAGUGAAAUGCGUAGAGAUCUGGAGGAACACCGAUGGCGAAGGCAGCCCCCUGGGCUAACACUGACGCUCAUGCACGAAAGCGUGGGGAGCAAACAGGAUUAGAUACCCUAGUAGUCCCUGAGCGGGCUGGCAAGGCGCAU
rnacentral:rRNA from 1 species